rnacentral:rRNA from 1 species
UACGUAGGGUGCAAGCGUUAAUCGGAAUUACUGGGCGUAAAGCGUGCGCAGGCGGUUUUGUAAGUCUGAUGUGAAAUCCCCGGGCUCAACCUGGGAAUUGCAUUGGAGACUGCAAGGCUAGAAUCUGGCAGAGGGGGGUAGAAUUCCACGUGUGAGCAGUGAAAUGCGUAGAGAUGUGGAGGAAUACCGAUGGCGAAGGCAGCCCCCUGGGAUAACACUGACGCUCAUGCACGAAAGCGUGGGGAGCAAACAGG